CUUUUGGCAUGCCUUACACAUGCANGUCGAACGGCAGCACGGAGCUUGCUCUGGUGGCGAGUGGCGAACGGGUGAGUAAUAUAUCGGAACGUACCCUGGAGUGGGGGAUAACGUAGCGAAAGUUACGCUAAUACCGCAUACGAUCUAAGGAUGAAAGUGGGGGAUCGCAAGACCUCAUGCUCGUGGAGCGGCCGAUAUCUGAUUAGCUAGUUGGUAGGGUAAAAGCCUACCAAGGCAUCGAUCAGUAGCUGGUCUGAGAGGACGACCAGCCACACUGGAACUGAGACACGGUCCAGACUCCUACGGGAGGCAGCAGUGGGGAAUUUUGGACAAUGGGCGAAAGCCUGAUCCAGCAAUGCCGCGUGAGUGAAGAAGGCCUUCGGGUUGUAAAGCUCCUUUGUCAGGGAAGAAACGGUGAGAGCUAAUAUCUCUUGCUAAUGACGGUACCUGAAGAAUAAGCACCGGCUAACUACGUGCCAGCAGCCGCGGUAAUACGUAGGGUGCAAGCGUUAAUCGGAAUUACUGGGCGUAAAGCGUGCGCAGGCGGUUUUGUAAGUCUGAUGUGAAAUCCCCGGGCUCAACCUGGGAAUUGCAUUGGAGACUGCAAGGCUAGAAUCUGGCAGAGGGGGG
rnacentral:rRNA from 1 species